CGAAAGGAGCCUGAGGAUGGGUCUGCGGCCUAUCAGGUUGUAGUGGGGGUAAUGGCCCCACUAGCCUACGACGGGUACGGGCCCUGAGAGGGGGAGCCCGGAGAUGGACUCUGAGACACGAGUCCAGGCCCUACGGGGCGCAGCAGGCGCGAAAACUCCGCAAUGCUCGAAAGAGCGACGGGGGGACUCCGAGUGCCUACGCUUUGCGUAGGCUUUUCUCGAGUCUACAAAGCUCGGGGAAUAAGGGCUGGGUAAGACGGGUGCCAGCCGCCGCGGUAAUACCUGCAGCUCGAGUGGUGGCCGCUUUUAUUGGGCCUAAAGCGUCCGUAGCCGGUCUGGUAAAUAUCUGGGUAAAUCGUAGGGCUUAACCCUACGGCUUCCAGAUAGACUGCCAGACUUGGGACCGGAGGAGGGAGAGGGUACUCCAGGGGUAGGGGUGAAAUCAGCAAGGUAGGUUGGUAAUUUACCUUGUAAGUCACAAUCCUGUAAUCCCUGGAGGACCACCGGUGGCGAAGGCGCUCUCCCAGGACGGGUCCGACGGUGAGGGACGAAAGCCAGGGGAGCAAACCGGAUUAGAUACCCGGGUAGUCCUGGCCGUAAACGAUGUGAACUUGAUAUUGGGAUGGCUACGGGCUGUCCCAGUGUCGUAGGGAAGCCGUUAAGUUCACCGCCUGGGGAGUACGGU
rnacentral:rRNA from 1 species